rnacentral:rRNA from 1 species
UACGUAGGGUGCAGGCGUUAAUCGGAAUUACUGGGCGUAAAGCGUGCGCAGGCGGUCUGCUAAGAGAGAUGUGAAAUCCCCGGGCUUAACCUGGGAACUGCGUUUCUAACUGGCAGGCUUGAGUGUGGCAGAGGGGGGUGGAAUUCCACGUGUAGCAGUGAAAUGCGUAGAGAUGUGGAGGAACACCGAUGGCGAAGGCAGCCCCCUGGGCUAACACUGACGCUCAUGCACGAAAGCGUGGGGAGCAAAUGGG